rnacentral:rRNA from 1 species
UACGAAGGGUGCAAGCGUUAAUCGGAAUUACUGGGCGUAAAGGGUGCGUAGGCGGUUCGUUAAGUCUGUCGUGAAAUCCCCGGGCUCAACCUGGGAAUGGCGAUGGAUACUGGCGAGCUAGAGUGUGUCAGAGGAUGGUGGAAUUCCCGGUGUAGCGGUGAAAUGCGUAGAGAUCGGGAGGAACAUCAGUGGCGAAGGCGGCCAUCUGGAUCAACACUGACGCUGAGGCACGAAAGCGUGGGGAGCAAACAGG